GAUGAACGCUAGCGGCAUGCCUAACACAUGCAAGUCGAGCGAGAGGUUACCUUCGGGUUACCAAAACGGGCGCCCGGGUGCGUAACAGUUAUACAAUCUGCCUUUCCCAUAGGGAUGGCGCGAAGAAAUUUGGAUUAAUGCCUAAUGGGCUAUAAAAGCUUCAUCGUUUUUAUUUUGAAUCUAAGAUGCUAUAAGAUGAGUAUGCGUUCUAUUAGCUAGUUGGAGAGGUAACGGCUCCCCAAGGCGACGAUAGAUAGGGGUUCUGAGAGGGAUGUCACCGACACUGGGACUGAGAUACGGACCAGACUCGUACGGGAGGCAGCAGUGAGGAAGAUUGGGAAAUGGUUGUAAGACUGAUCCAGCGAGGGCGUGUGCAGGAUGAAGGUCUUAUGGAUCGUAGUCUGCUUUUGUAAGCGAAGAAUAAGGAGUACGGGUAAUUUAAUGACGGUACCUUACGAAUAAGCAACGGCUAACUACGUG
rnacentral:rRNA from 1 species